AUUGAACGCUGGCGGCAGGCCUAACACAUGCAAGUCGAGCGGAUGAAGGGAGCUUGCUCCUGGAUUCAGCGGCGGACGGGUGAGUAAUGCCUAGGAAUCUGCCUGGUAGUGGGGGAUAACGUCCGGAAACGGGCGCUAAUACCGCAUACGUCCUGGGGGAAAAAGUGGGGGAUCUUCGGACCUCACGCUAUCAGAUGAGCCUAGGUCGGAUUAGCUAGUUGGUGGGGUAAAGGCCUACCAAGGCGACGAUCCGUAACUGGUCUGAGAGGAUGAUCAGUCACACUGGAACUGAGGCACGGUCCAGACUCCUACGGGAGGCAGCAGUGGGGAAUAUUGGACAAUGGGCGAAAGCCUGAUCCAGCCAUGCCGCGUGUGUGAAGAAGGUCUUCGGAUUGUAAAGCACUUUAAGUUGGGAGGAAGGGCAGUAAGUUAAUACCUUGCUGUUUUGACGUUACCAACAGAAUAAGCACCGGCUAACUUCGUG
rnacentral:rRNA from 1 species